rnacentral:misc_RNA from 1 species
GACUUGGGCACUGCUCCCCUUCCUACCUGGCCCCAACGGCGUUGUACCUCAAAAGAGCACAUACGGCUUCGUAGGGAGGGAGUAACAAAGGCGAAGCAACAGAAGCGGAGAAGUGUCUCGCAUACAGGAUCACCCCUGCAAAGGACACCGGUGCUCGCGCGCGCACAUACAAGGACAUACAGUGGCAUACACAUAGUUCACGAUGGGGCUGGAAACCCUCAGCAACGGCACGUCGCCGGCCCCGAUAUCAGUUGUCUGUUUCGGGCAUCCUUUGCUAGACAUGAUGGCAACCGUUGAAAACGAUUUCUUGCGGGAGCAUAACGUCGAACCAGGGAGUGUCACACUGGCGGCGCCGGAGCAGCUUGUUCUCUUCUCGAAGCUGCUGGACGAGUUCAAAGAUCAGGUGGACUACGUCCCCGGUGGGGCCGCCAUGAACACGGCGCGUGUUUUGGCUUGGAUGCUGCCUGAUGCGCACAUCGCCUACGUGGGCGCACUGGGCAAGGAUCGCUUCGCCGAAAUCCUGAAGAGCGCGCUCACCAAGGCUGGCGUCGAGCAGCUGUUUGAGGAAUGCGAAGACAAACCGACGGGCACCUGCGCCGGCCUCGUGGUGCAGAAAGAUCGAACGUUGCUUGCUAACCUCGGCGCGGCCGUGACGUUGUCGUUGACGCACAUUCAAACGGACGCCGUGCAAUCUGCAAUUGAGAAGGCCAGUUUGUACUACGCAGAGGGCUUCUUUCUCAACACCGCCUCCAGCCCUAACAAUCUUCUCUACGUUGCCCAUCACGCUCACCUGCACGGAAAGCUUUUCUGCUUCAACCUGAACGCGCCGUAUAUUAGCAUUGCGUUUGAGAGCCGCCUACAUGUUCUCUUGCCUCAUGUAGACAUUCUCUUCGGCAGCGACGAAGAUCUACUAACGUACGCUUCUGUGCGGUGGCCGCACGACUUUGACCUGAGCACCCUCGGCACCGUCAUGCACGCUAAUUCGCGGCGCCAUGAGGCGUUCGUGCGGUGUCUCGCGCGCAUCUCCAUGCUGCCGAGAGCCAACUCCGCCAGGCCCCGACUCGUAGUCGGGACCUGUGGGCCCCACGACACGUACGUCGCAUGCGGCGACCACGUCCGCUCCUACCCAGUGCCGCCGAUGGCGCAGGAGGAGAUGGUUGACGUGAACGGCGCUGGUGACGCGUUUGUGGCGGGCUUCCUUGCUCAAUACAUCGUGAACCGUGAUGAGUCUACUAGCGUCGUGGUUGGUCAUGCUUCCGCACAGAACUGCAUCCGGCAUAACGGUGCCGUUGUGAGUGGUGCGCCCCCGGCGCUUACGCGCCGGAUCAGCGGCACGACAGAGCCUGUCAUGACCGCAAACUCCGCUUGAAGGGAUGUCCUUCUUUCUCACCCCCUCACAAGCGCAGCAAACAGCAGCGUAGCACCGGCGCACCGAUAUCCAGGCGCCAUCUUAUGUUUGAAUGUGCGUGCAUAUGCGUUGAUGCAUGUGCAGCCGGCGUGUCUUUGCGUAUGCCCCGUUGCUGGUUCGGUUUUUGCAAGUGUGCGUGUGUGGGUCGUUGAGUGCACCUACGCACUUGUCGAGCCCGUGCUAUGCAGCUAGGGACAAACAAUGACGCUGCGUGCAGAUGCCGAGGCUGCGGACUGGUGUGUCCUCCGCCCUCGCGAAGUGUGUUCCUCUUUCUGUUUUUUUUUUUGUUUCUGUCUUCCUUUUGUGUGUGGCGUCAUAUGUCUCUCUCUCUUGCCUCUUCUUACCAUGCCCCUCUCGACGGGCGUACUUGCACUCCUCUGUGCGCCACAUCCUGCCCCUCCUUGUUCUGCUUUUCUUCACUCCUCACCAGCCCUCCCUCCCUCCUCUCCUUUAGACGCCUUCUCUUUUUUUUUGCUUGCAACUGACUUCUUCUUGGGGUGAUGCGAGAAGCGUAGUGUCGGUACUCAUUUUUGCGUGCAAAAUGCGGGCUCUGAUGUGGAGGGGAGGGGCACUUCAGCGUGAUCUCAGAAUCCAGCACACACGCCACUCAGCGUGAGGGAUUCCAAGCAGACCUCCGUAUCCCCCCGCCCAAUUCCGAAGCGCCUCUGUUCAUGAUAGGGCCACGCUCCUACGACCUCAGGGAGCUCAGAGCGAUGUAUUGCUACCGAUGUCAGCGGUCAGGUUCUGGAUGGCGUUGGUUCGGAGCGGCCUGCGACAGUAAACAGGUUUGUGCCACCCAUACAAUGGAUGAAGUUUCCACGUGACUCGAUUGUAUCUCUCACCCGGCCCUCACACUGUCCUGCUGGUGUGGGCUGCCUGAAUGCCAUCCCGAGAGGGAUGCACCAGGUGUGGCGACCGGCAAAACGGGAGUUGCUGUGAGGCAGCCUUCGAAGCGGGUGGGCGGGUAGAGUUUGAGGCUGGGGCUGUGAUUUCAGAUGGCUGAGCCAGCACUUUGCUGUAGCGCGUGCCUACGGCUACUUCGCACCAUCGCGAUGGGCCUGUGACAUGUGUAGAGUGGAGCUGAGCUUGUGCUGUACGUUAUAGAGGACACAUUGAAAGGAAGGAAAAAAGGUGAGAUAUGGGCGGCUUUUUCUGUGCGCAAGGGUUUGCUUUUAUUCACAGCGUGCUCUUUCGACCACUUCAUCUCCCCGCAUCAACCUACUGCAAGCUCAUAUACACCCGUGUAUAUAUAUAUAUAUAUAUAUGUAUACAGACCCAAUCACACAGAGAGGCGCAGUUGGUGAGACGCGAAGCGAUGUCACUGUCAGUGAGCAGUCAUCAGUGGUACACCGCUGCCCAUGUCAUGUGCGUCUGCGCGCAAAACGUUUUCUCUCCGUAUGUGUAGAGGUGUACGCGUGCAGUAAAAAACAAAAGCAGGUUUGCCCUUCUGUGUGAGUGUGUGUAUCUGUGUGUGUGUGUGCCUGUGUGUCUGUGUGCCGCUUUUUGUGUGAUAACUUUUUCUUCGAAUAUUCUCUCUUCCACUCCUCCUCUUGUUUGGCUGAAAG